rnacentral:rRNA from 1 species
AUUGAACGCUGGCGGCAGGCUUAACACAUGCAAGUCGAGCGGUAACAGAGAGAAGCUUGCUUCUCUGCUGACGAGCGGCGGACGGGUGAGUAAUGCCUAGGAAUCUGCCUAGUAGUGGGGGAUAACUUGCCGAAAGGUAAGCUAAUACCGCAUACGUCCUACGGGAGAAAGGAGGGGACCUUCGGGCCUUUCGCUAUUAGAUGAGCCUAGGUCGGAUUAGUUAGUUGGUGAGGUAAUGGCUCACCAAGACCGCGAUCCGUAACUGGUCUGAGAGGAUGAUCAGUCACACUGGAACUGAGACACGGUCCAGACUCCUACGGGAGGCAGCAGUGGGGAAUAUUGGACAAUGGGGGGAACCCUGAUCCAGCCAUGCCGCGUGUGUGAAGAAGGUCUUAGGAUUGUAAAGCACGUUAAGUUGGGAGGAAGAGCAGUUAACUAAUAUUUGACUGUUUUGACGUUACCGACAGAAUAAGCACCGGCUAACUUCGUG